CCUACGGGAGGCUGCAGUAGGGAAUCUUCGGCAAUGGGGGGAACCCUGACCGAGCAACGCCGCGUGAACGAAGAAGUUACUCGUAAUUUAAAGUUCUUUUAACAGGGAAGAAAGAGUAAUUUGACGGUACCUGAAGAAUAAGCUCCGACUAAAUACGUGCCAGCAGACGCGGUAAUACGUAGGGAUCGUGCGUUAUCCGGAAGUAUUGGGCGAAAGGGGUGCGUAGAUGGCAUAGGAAGUCUUUAGUAAAAAUGCUGGGCUAAACCCAGGAGGGCAAAAGAUACUGCAAAGCUAGAGUAUGAAAGAGGCAAGUGGAACUACAUGUGUAGCGGUAAAAUGCGUAAAUAUAUGUAAGAACACCAGUGGCGAAGGCGGCUUGCUGGGUCAAUACUGACAUUGAGGCACGAAAGCGUGGGGAGCAAACAGGAUUAGAUACCCGAGUAGUC
rnacentral:rRNA from 1 species